GCUUGUCUCAAAGAUUAAGCCAUGCAUGUCUUAGUGUAAAUAACUCUUAUGAAACUGCGAAUGGCUCAUUAAAUCAGUUAUCGUUUAUUUGAUGGUCCCUUACUACAUGGAUAACCGUAGUAAUUCUAGAGCUAAUACACGCAAACAAGCUCCGACUUUACGGACGAGCGCAUUUAUUAGACCAAAACCAAUCGGGCUUCGGCCUGAUCACUUGGUGACUCUGAAUAACUGAGCUGAUCGCAUGGUCUUUGUACCGGCGACGCAUCUUUCAAGUGUCUGCCUUAUCAACUUUCGAUGGUAGUUUAUGUGCCUACCAUGGUUGUUACGGGUAACGGAGAAUAAGGGUUCGACUCCGGAGAGGGAGCCUGAGAAACGGCUACCACAUCCAAGGAAGGCAGCAGG
rnacentral:rRNA from 1 species